rfam:Planctomycetes bacterium RIFCSPLOWO2_12_38_17 rifcsplowo2_12_sub10_scaffold_5919, whole genome shotgun sequence.
UUCGAUAAAGGCAAACCCUGAGUGAUCAGGGGGCGCAAAGUAAAGGGUCUUUAAAAGAAACGAAGCAGUACAAAAAGACAGCCUUACUGCCGAAG